CCUACGGGUGACAGCAGUGAGGAAUAUUGGUCAAUGGGCGGAAGCCUGAACCAGCCAAGUCGCGUGAGGGAAGAAGGCCCUACGGGUCGUAAACCUCUUUUGCCGGGGAGCAAGGGCGGGGACGUGUCCCGGCCCGGAGAGUACCCGGAGAAAAAGCAUCGGCUAACUCCGUGCCAGCAGCCGCGGUAAUACGGAGGAUGCGAGCGUUAUCCGGCUUUAUUGGGUUUAAAGGUUGCGUAGGCGGGCUGUUAAGUCAGCGGUAAAAAUGCGGGGCUCAACCCCGUCCGGCCGUUGAAACUGGGGUGCGUGAGUGGGCGAGAAGAAGGCGGAAUGCGUGGUGUAGCGGUGAAAUGCAUAGAUAUCACGCAGAACCCCGAUUGCGAAGGCAGCAUUCCGGCGCCCUACUGACGCUGAGGCACGAAAGUGUGGGGAUCGAACAGGAUUAGAUACCCGUGUAGUC
rnacentral:rRNA from 1 species